CGUUGGUCCGUGAUAAGACUGAAAAUUAGAGCUCCGAUAAUUCACCUUAAUUUGUAAUAGGUAUAUUACAUGAAUAAGAGACUACUGACUUAUAUAUCAAAUGUUAUUGUUGAUAAUCAAUAAAAUAGUCAAGUGGAAGAAUUACACUUCAAAUAAAAUUGUUCAAGUAUAAUCUUUAUACUUAAUAUUAAGGUCAUCAUUACCUGAAGUGAAUUAUGUCUAAUGAAGUGUGAAAAUGAAUAAGAAAAUAAGAAACCAGCUGUAUUUAUGAAAUCAUGGAAAUCUAAAACAAAAUAGAACGUAUUGUUUUAUCAAAAAUCAUUGAUUAAUUUUAAAAGAUCGAAACAAAUGGACCAGGAAUUUUAUAACUGAUGAAAAGAAUUGUCAAAACUAGUGGAGUUUACAUUAGUACAUUGUUUAAUAACUAUUAUUUUAUUUUAUUUUAUAUUAUUUUAAAGUAAAAGCUUGUAUUCAAAGAAAAAUAUAAUAUAGUCUUACAUUUCUUUUUUAUUCUUAUGUUUAUGUUGAAUAAUUGUUUAAAAAAUACCUUAAAGGUAUGAUUCUUUAGGACGUGACUUGUAUGGCUGACAGUACUGGUUUUACUAUUUUCAUAUAAAAUAGAUUUCCUACACCACCACAGCUGCAUGCAACGAACGCUUGCGACAGUUAAAACGCACCGGCCACUUGACUGUUGACCAAAAUGCUGUAAAAUCCUUCAAUUAUUCUAGUAAGAAACAAAUUGUGGGUUUUCCUUGUAUUGCAUAUUUUACAUAGUUAAGUUGCAUGUUUGAUUAUUGUUUCUUUUCCGUUGAUUUCUUCUAAAAGAAGAAUUUUGAUGAGAAUUUUAUUUCUGACUUAGUAACAUGUCUGGUUUUAUAAUAAAAACUAAGGUGUGUAGUGCGUCGAAUUUUGUAUUGUAGGGAAUCCAUAAUUGAACUGUGCGACCAAAAUUUCAGUCGCACUGCGUCAGCUGCACGAGUCACGUUUCUACAAUCUUGUCCUAAAGAAUCACACCUUAAGUGUAAUAAAUAUAUUAUAAUGAAUCUUAUUUAGAUUAAAAAAAAAACCUAUAAAA
rnacentral:lncRNA from 1 species